CCUACGGGAGGCAGCAGUGGGGAAUAUUGCGCACUGGGCGAAAGCCUGACGCAGCGACGCCGCGUGAGGGAUGAAUGUCUUCGGAUCGUAAACCUCUGUCAGCAGGGAAGAACGGUAACUGUUGUAAUCAGCAGUGAAUUGACGGUACCUGCAAAGGAAGCACAGGCUAACUCCGUGACAGCAGCCGCGGUAAUACGGAGGGGGCGAGCGUUAAUCGGAAUUACUGGGUGUAAAGCGCGCGUAGGCGGUAUGUCAAGUCAAGGGUGAAAUCUCCGCGCUCAACGUGGGAACUGCCUUUGAAACUGGCAAACUUGAGUGUGUGAGAGGAUAGUGGAAUUCGAGGUGUAGGAGUGAAAUCCGUAGAUAUCUGGAGGAACAUCAGUGGCGAAGGCGACUAUCUGGCACAUAACUGACGCUGAGGAGCGAAAGCGUGGGUAGCAAACAGGAUUAGAUACCCUAGUAGUC
rnacentral:rRNA from 1 species